rnacentral:rRNA from 1 species
GAUGAACGCUAGCGGCAGGCCUAACACAUGCAAGUCGAGGGGUAGAGUUCUUCGGGACUUGAGACCGGCGCACGGGUGCGUAACGCGUAUGCAAUCUACCUUAUACAGGGGAAUAGCCCCAGAGAAAUUUGGAUUAAUGCCCCAUAGUGUUAUCGAAUCGCAUGGUUUGAUAACUAAAGUUCCAACGGUAUAAGAUGAGCAUGCGUCCCAUUAGUUAGUUGGUAAGGUAACGGCUUACCAAGACAAUGAUGGGUAGGGGGUCCGUGAGAGGGAGGAUCCCCCACCACUGGUACUGAGACACGGACCAGACUCCUACGGGAGGC